rnacentral:rRNA from 1 species
AAUGCGUAGAUAUGCGGAGGAACACCGAUGGCGAAGGCAAUCCCCUGGGCCUGCACUGACGCUCAUGCACGAAAGCGUGGGGAGCAAACAGGAUUAGAUACCCUGGUAGUCCACGCCCUAAACGAUGUCAACUGGUUGUUGGGAAUUCACUUUCUCAGUAACGAAGCUAACGCGUGAAGUUGACCGCCUGGGGAGUACGGCCGCAAGGUUAAAACUCAAAGGAAUUGACGGGGACCCGCACAAGCGGUGGAUGAUGUGGUUUAAUUCGAUGCAACGCGAAAAACCUUACCUACCCUUGACAUGUCUGAAAUCCUGCAGAGAUGUGGGAGUGCUCGAAAGAGAAUCAGAACACAGGUGCUGCAUGGCCGUCGUCAGCUCGUGUCGUGAGAUGUUGGGUUAAGUCCCGCAACGAGCGCAACCCUUGUCAUUAGUUGCUACGAAAGGGCACUCUAAUGAGACUGCCGGUGACAAACCGGAGGAAGGUGGGGAUGACGUCAGGUCCUCAUGGCCCUUAUGGGUAGGGCUACACACGUCAUACAAUGGCCGGUACAGAGGGCUGCCAACCCGCGAGGGGGAGCCAAUCCCAGAAAACCGGUCGUAGUCCGGAUCGCAGUCUGCAACUCGACUGCGUGAAGUCGGAAUCGCUAGUAAUCGCGGAUCAGCUUGCCGCGGUGAAUACGUUCCCGGGUCU